CCCGCACAAGCGGUGGAGCAUGUGGUUUAAUUCGAUGCAACGCGAAGAACCUUACCUGGUCUUGACAUCCACAGAAGAAUCCAGAGAUGGAUUUGUGCCUUCGGGAACUGUGAGACAGGUGCUGCAUGGCUGUCGUCAGCUCGUGUUGUGAAAUGUUGGGUUAAGUCCCGCAACGAGCGCAACCCUUAUCCUUUGUUGCCAGCGGUCCGGCCGGGAACUCAAAGGAGACUGCCAGUGAUAAACUGGAGGAAGGUGGGGAUGACGUCAAGUCAUCAUGGCCCUUACGACCAGGGCUACACACGUGCUACAAUGGCGCAUACAAAGAGAAGCGACCUCGCGAGAGCAAGCGGACCUCAUAAAGUGCGUCGUAGUCCGGAUUGGAGUCUGCAACUCGACUCCAUGAAGUCGGAAUCGCUAGUAAUCGUGGAUCAGAAUGCCACGGUGAAUACGUUCCCGGGCCUUGUACACACCGCCCGUCACACCAUGGGAGUGGGUUGCAAAAGAAGUAGGUAGCUUAACCUUCGGGAGGGCGCUUACCACUUUGUGAUUCAUGACUGGGGUGAAGUCGUAACAAGGUAACCGUAGGGGAACCUGC
rnacentral:rRNA from 1 species